UUUUUCUUGUAGCCAAUUUGAGUGAUUUCUGCUAUACUUGUUGCCAAUAUUCAUCUUAUUUGACCUAAGGUUUAACUCGCCCUGUGCUACAGUGUAAAUGUUUAUUCUAUCGGGAUGAUAUUUUAGCUAAAUUAUGCUAACCUUUAGCAUUGUAUGCUAAAUGCUAAACACUUUUCUUUGGAUAAGUUAUCUUUCUGUGUGCAUGUGAAUAGCACGUUAAUUUCCUAUGGUUGAAUAUUUAGCUAAAAGCUAAAAUCCUCUAGAUUUGUAUUUAACGUUCAAUUUUAUUGAACUAUAUAUAUAUGUAGCUGCAAUGUUUUUGGGGCCAAACUCUGUCAUCUCCGUUUCAUCAAUUCUUAGGUCAACAUUUAUCAUAUUCUGCAAAUUUUUACCUUCUUGGAAUUGAAACAUGGUACUAAAUAUAUUUGUCAAACUUUACACUAUUAAUAAAUUAUCAUAAAAAGUAAUCUAAAAAAUUUACUGAAUGAUUGAAAUGAAUACUGAACGAGUACUGGAUUAUUAUAAUACAAUUAUCAGAGGAAUUGUUACCCACUGAAAUCCUACAGUUAGCUGUGGGUUAAUAUUUAUCAACUGAAUGAUGUAAAUACUAUGGCUGCAAAUUAGUUCAAUUUUACCGCAAAAUUUUAUUUCAAAUAAGAAAAAAAUUGUGUUUAUGGGGCUUUAAAUAAAUGAAGACAUAUAUUUAGUGUAUUUUUAUGGUGUACCGCUACACUGCAGCCUAUUUCAACGUGCGUCUAGAGCACAAAGACACACACACACACACCUGUUCCUGCGCCUUUGCAACCAAGUCUAAACUUUGUCACAGUGUGAAGCCUCUGUUGUUCAGACUCUCUCUUUUCUAACUAACACACACUCGGCGUCUCUUUAUCACCUCAUAACCAAGAUGUUCCCAGCCUUCAUCCAACUUUCCCACCUGUCUCCACUCUCUACUCUCACGUCCAAGUCAGAAAACAACGAGAUCAAAUUGUUUUUGUAUCUUUCCUCCAACGAAGACCUGCUGUUUUUCCCCCUUCACCAGAAUCAAAGCGCACAGACUUGGGUUUUAUUUUUCUCCAAAAAAAGGACGCUCGGUGCGCUCCGGCCACGUCCGCCGCUGCGGCCAGAUAUGGGAGUAACGGCGCCGCUGUGUGCGCCACCUCCGCAGCUGCUCCGCGUUUCUCCACGUCUUUUCCCAAAGGAGCAGGAGUUAAACAGCUGACAGCGAUCUCACCGGGAAGUUCACUCCACUGACCUGCACCAGGGUAUGGUUUCACUGGAGCUCCAUUACAUCAACGACCCACAGAGCGCAUCACUAUUUCGGUGUUUUUAAUAAGUCAUAUUCAGAACUGUCCGUCCGUGUCCUGACGGCGGUGGCGCUCUGGCAAUUACAUGUAAUUACACCCGCAGAGCAAAAGUGCGUGAGCGUGAGAUGGAAAAGGUUUAUUCUAGUGCUGACAUUUAGACAAAGUCAUUUCCCAACUCUUUGCGAGAUGGGUUUCCAGCAGUCACAUCAUUAUCUUUUUGCUGGGGGAAAACGGUGAUUUUUGAGAGUUUAUACAAAAAGAUGCUCCCGUUUUUAAAUGCAGUAAAGGAGGAAAAUCCAAGUGUGAAUUAAAGCGUGUCUUGUUAUUUAAAAAGACGAGGAAAACAUUCGGUUCAAGAGGUCAUUCUCAUCUCUGAUCUGAUGUCAGCACUAAAUUAACUCAUCAAAUUAAAGCUUCAGGCGGCGCUAAAAGCACCACCUGAGUACAUAUGUAUGUAAGGUUUUGGAACGGUCCUUUGGUUGUUGUUCUGGAUGUUGUACUGUUCAGGAUAAACAUAAAGAUCGUGGAGAAUAGUGUCACCAUGGCGUUGUACAACUUCCUGUUUCACAGCAAAUCAUCAAAUGUAAUUUUGCCCCGCUGACACACUGGACCACUCACCAAAACUCUGGAAAUGUGUCGGUCUUUAACUGACACAUUUCUAGUCACUAAGAUGAUUCCUUAAUCGCUGAAAAUGAGGAAAAAUUGGGUCUUUAGAACAUUCUAGAACAAGAGCUUGAUUUUCCACGAUGAGCUCUCUAGAGAUGGCUAUGGGGUCGCUAUUGAGCUACUUAACUACAACGAUAGCUAACAUUUUUUCGUAGCAAAGAUUGUUGACAUUUUGUUUAAAAACACAUUUCUAGAUGACGGUAAAAAACAUAAGGGCUCAAGAAAGUUGCUUUAGAUGUUGUAGUGUACGUGUAAGAACAACUCCUGGUACAUGUGUUCUACCUCCCCUGUCAACUAUGUGGCGCUGUAACAACGGGGCACUUCUUACUGCUAUAAGCCAGACCAAAAAGUUCUUCCUGUCAGUUUCAGGAUACACCUAUAAGACACUGACCUACAGUGAUACACCUGCCUCCCUGUCCUAACACUAACACCUAACACUCUGCGGUUUAUUCCUAGGGGGCACUGCUGAGUCUUGAGCCACACGGAUUUUAGAAUAUUGAGCAAAUGUAACGUUUCUCGGUUGUUUUUUUUUAGUGUCUUAAAUUAAGGGAGAAUAAAUCAUAAAGGUGAGAGUUUGAGAAUAAAACUGUCUGAACUCAGAGUUGAAUGAAUUCUAUCAAUUAUUUUAAACGAAAUCCAAUGUAAAUAAAAUGUUAAAAUAUUUAAUUUGUCCUUAUGUAAGAAUAAUCCAAUUGUUUUUAAGUUAGAAAUAGUGUUUUGUCCACACUGAAUAAGUGUUUUUAACUCUGAAUUUCUUUCUCUUGCCAUUUUUAAUAAACUGUAACUUUCUCUUUUAUGAUUGGCUGUUGGGGUUCACACUGUUAUUAUAUUGGACGAUGUCUACACAAUGUGUUUUUAUGUAUUAUUCAUGUAUCGUGUUUAUUCACUGUUGUAUUAACGUUGACUGCUGACUGUAAAAAAAAAAAAACCUCCCCUGAUAAAAUAAAAUGUUAUUUUGUUUUUUUUCACACAAUGACUCAGUGACCUCUAUUUUUUUUAUUUUAACAUUUAGGGCCUCUUUUUUUUUAACAUUCACACAUUGCUGCCCUGCACAGACGAGCGUGAUGCAUCACUCACAAUCUGACAUCAUAUCUGGUGGCUCUGUAACAUCUGUGGGGGUAGAGACUUGGUGUCGGUCCAAAGGCCCCAUCCCAGGACUGGGAGCCACUCCAAGGCGGUAGGUGAGGAGAGCAAGGUCGUCCACGGACAACAGCACGAGCCCGGCCCUGCUACCUGGCCCUUAUAGGGCCCAGCAGCCAGAGAGGAGAAACUAAAGUGCAGAUAAGCGUGAGCAUGCUGCCCCAGUGGUCUCUCACUGAAUGACAGGGCUUUUCCUAAAAGCCUCUAAAUGCAGGAUGUAGGCUUCAGCGUACUUGGAAAGUAGAGCCGAGCAGGUGGAGGGGAAAUGGUGAACUGCCUACACCAUCAAAGAGAAGCAGAUGGAGUUUGUAGAGGAAGAUUUUUGAUUCGUGCCCAGGGACGACACUGUUUACCAGGUAGUUUAGACUGCACUAAAAGGAACAGCUUCUUUUCUGGCACAAGGAAACGUCAACGUUAGGCGUCUGAAUAUCUGACGACAAUUUGAACCGUUUGUAUUUUCACAUAUUGCAAAGUACUUGCUCCUACUGUGACGUGUGAGACUAUAAUGAAAGGCCACACAAAUACAUUGUGCCUUAACAUAUUUAGUGUAUAAAAAAGCCAUAUCAUCAGUUCUGAAAAGAAAUAAAUAACAUUUUUUGUGCCAUUUGUUAAUGUUGGGCUACGGGUCAGAAGGAGGAAUUACCCAAAGGGCAACCAAAAAUCUGAGAAUGACCAGUAACCAGACUCAUAGUUGGCCAGGAAACAACUACAUGUGAGCAAAAAUAAUAGCACAGAAACCACAAACUAGCCAAAAUAUAACAACACAUUAGCUCUUAAGAUGCUGUAAUCUAGCUAAAAGAAAUAGUAAUGACAUAGCCAAGCAUUGGAAAAUAGACAACAUAUACCUGAAACUAGCCCCAAAAUAUAAAAUAAGUAAAGUCAGAACAGGAAAAAGAGAGAAUAAUAGUGAAAAGAUGGUUAGGGUUAGCUUAAAGAUAAUGAUGAAAAUGUAAUAAAAGAAACCAGAAAUGGGUGGAAGGGUAAAAGAAGAGAAAAAAGAAGAGAAAAGAGAAAAAAGAAGAGAAAAAUCAGUAAAUUUACCUCUUCAAUAAAAAGUAAGUAUCAGGAAAUAUUAUAUAUAUUUUUAAUCUACAGAUUUAAUCCCACUUCUUUAAUCCCCCUCUGCUGAGUUUCUUAUUGUCACAGUCAAAAAUUGGUCUCUUCAUUGUGGCCACAGACUGGUUUCGGUGCCAGAUUUGUGCCAAAGUGUCACAUGUGCAGCAGCUGAGGUCUGACCCUGACCACAUCUGGUUUCACUGCAGAAAAGGUCAGCAUUUAUUGUUGGUGGGAUCACAGCUAGAGAGAGGGGUGAAUCCCAGGAAAAGGGUGAGGAACAAGUGCAGAGUGAACCCGAAGAUGGGAGUGAGUGAAAGAAAGGAGGGAGAUCAUCUGUGCCUGCAGCUGAUAACACUUCUCCUCCUGGACUCCUCACGGCCGCGGCCCAUGGAACCACUGCAUGUUCAUUGGGAGCCAACUGGUGAAGUUGGUUACCCAUCAUCCUCAGCUUAGAGUCUCCCCGUCGGGCCUCUAAUCCAAUGUAAUAAACCAGUGCAUGAGCAGUAGGUCUCCAGUGUGGAGACGGCGCACUGCCUGCCCCUCCAUGCUGAGAGAAGACCACCCUCUGACUGCAUGGAGGUGCCUGCAUGAACCCUGGGCAUCAUAAGAUGUGGGUUUGGCUCCAGCAGAUACGGCUCUGGAUGAGUAGGAGAGAAUGUGGCGUCUUGAUGUUUCCAACUGACCAGGGAUAAGCCAGGAAAGGGAAAUAUGGCUAGAUAGGCAACGAGAUUGAGAUACGUGGGCCCCAUCUGACAGACGACUUCAAAGACAUGGUGGGCUGUGUCUUCUUACUGGUCCCAGAUGAGGUUUAGGACCAGAAUGAUUGAAUACUAAGAUGACCUAUAAUGGAUACAACUGAGCAUCUGUCCAUCCACCGCUCUGUCCCUGUCUGUGCAUACAAACUUGACACUGGUGUUUCAAUGUCAAACAAAGACAAAGGAAAUGUGGAAAAGAAACUGUAACUGAUUUUUAUUUUUUAUUGAACUGGACUGAAUCGCAACAUAUCACAUUGUACUUUAACGUAGCUUAUCAUAUCGUAUCAAAUUAGGUACAGUUGGAUUUUAACCAAUAAAGUAAUCACACUUUGGCCAAGUAAUAGUCAAAAGAGAAAUUCCUGCAAGUUACUGACUCAACAUGUCUUUAGUUCAGAACAACCAAAGUUUUGUCCAACAGACAGAAAUAUCCAAACUAACUACAACAUAGGUUUUUUAAAUUAAUAGAACUGUAUCUAAUUGAAAGCAUCCAAAGGAUCUCACCAUAACCAAGUAGUACUUAAAGAGGAAUUUCUGUCAAGUACUGACAACAUAUGUACACAGUAUGAAACAACUGAAGUUUUGUCUACGAGAGGGAGAAACAUCCAAACUAGGAUAAAGUUACACCAGGCCUUAAAGGAUCAUGUGGGCUCAAACACUACACUCUAAGAAGCCUGGCGGGGGCAGUGUCAACAACAAUUAAAAAUGUAUAUUUUACACACCCAACAACCACUUCAUUCAUCUGCAGUAGGUGUUGAACUGCGACUGGACCUGCUCGCAAAUAAGGAAUCAUCACGAGUCAAAGAGAACUUGACUCCUCUGCUCAGUUAAGGACACACUCAGACUCAGACUCUCAGUGAAGAUGCUGAUGACAGCCCUAAUGUGUCUGCGUGUCCCACAGGACGCACAGCUCUGGACUUUACCAAUUGCAAGACUAAUUGUAUAAUUAGGGCGGCUCUGUUGGGGACGUGCACCUCUUGCCCUCUGCAGACACUUGCCAUGGUAAAUGACAGUAUAUCUCACCAUAACUAUCAAAGAUGAUCCAUCUUGGUGACACUAAACCUUGAGAGAUGGCAGCAUUUUAUUACUAUGACUGAUAGUCCCCCAACAAGUAGCAAACAUACACAGUCACACACACACAGUCUGCUGUGAUUACCUAAAGGCACACAGUCAAAGUCCUGACUACUGCACCAUCAAGUCUAUAAUUUACUUAAGCCAAACAGUCAAAGCAACUAGGGCAGAAAAUGAUUGUAUUAUUUUAACAAGGCUUUUUAUAACUAUAAGCAAUAUAGCUGAAAAAAAAAAUUCCAAACAAAACAAAGUUUAAUUUUUAAUAUUUGGCUUUUUAUAUAUCAGGUUAUCUUUGCUGAAAGAAUUAGUUUUGGGAUAACAGUUUAUUUUUACUAAUCAUUAGCUAAGUCUCACAUCAAUAAACGUUUUUGCUAAACUUCAGACUGUUCAGGCCUAACUUUUUUUUUGACAUCUUUUGGCAAACAUCAUUAUCACAAGAUCUGAACUUAAAGAUCUUAAACAUUACAAUGUUUCGACUCUUGAAUCUUACAGGAAGAGCAGUUAUCAGAUAUAUGAAUGUGAGGUUCUUCUAUCUGGAUUUGGAGAACAGCAGAGUGGAGAAGACUAAUGCCUUUUACCACCAUUGGUCCUCAAGUCCCCCACCCUCCAUAACAGACUCUCCCCUAACAACCCUCCCCUAAACAUAGCAGCAUUGCCAUGCACAUCAUUAUCACUGUCAAAAGUUCUGCACAGAAAGUCACGCUGAAGACCCACGCAGGAGGUGGAGGAGGAGAAAGGAAUUGUUGCCUCACUUCGACUGGCCCACGCCAGGUUAGGACAC